UCCGCAGGCGGUCAAUUAAGUCAGAGGUGAAAUACCAUAGCUCAACUAUGGAACUGCCUUUGAUACUGGUUGACUUGAGUCAUAUGGAAGUAGAUAGAAUGUGUAGUGUAGCGGUGAAAUGCAUAGAUAUUACACAGAAUACCGAUUGCGAAGGCAGUCUACUACGUAUGUACUGACGCUGAGGGACGAAAGCGUGGGGAGCGAACAGGAUUAGAUACCCUGGUAGUCC
rnacentral:rRNA from 1 species